rnacentral:rRNA from 1 species
GAUGAACGCUGGCGGCGUGCCUAAUACAUGCAAGUCGAGCGAACGGACGAGAAGCUUGCUUCUCUGAUGUUAGCGGCGGACGGGUGAGUAACACGUGGAUAACCUACCUAUAAGACUGGGAUAACUUCGGGAAACCGGAGCUAAUACCGGAUAAUAUUUUGAACCGCAUGGUUCAAAAGUGAAAGACGGUCUUGCUGUCACUUAUAGAUGGAUCCGCGCUGCAUUAGCUAGUUGGUAAGGUAACGGCUUACCAAGGCAACGAUGCAUAGCCGACCUGAGAGGGUGAUCGGCCACACUGGAACUGAGACGCGGUCAAGACUCCGACGGGAGGCAGCAGUAGGGAAUCUUCCGCAAUGGGCGAAAGCCUGACGGAGCAACGCCGCGUGAGUGAUGAAGGUCUUCGGAUCGUAAAACUCUGUUAUUAGGGAAGAACAUAUGUGUAAGUAACUGUGCACAUCUUGACGGUACCUAAUCAGAAAGCCACGGCUAACUACGUG